rnacentral:rRNA from 1 species
AACGGAUCUCUUGGUUCUGGCAUCGAUGAAGAACGCAGCGAAAUGCGAUAAGUAAUGUGA